AUUUGUUUUCACACGAAACCACAAUUCGCCAACCUACACAAAGCACAGUCCCACAUAUGAUGUGUUCACCUAUCCAAAAGAAGGCCUUACAUCUUUAUUUGAAAAACCUGGAUGAUAAAAGAAAUGCAUUAACCCCUAUGUUAAAUAGUAUUAACAAUGCUAUUGAUGAGUGCAACUCAUGGAUGAUGGAAAAAGAUGGAAGCAAAAAGAGCUUUGGAGAAAUGAUGCAGCAAUUAGAGGAAAUCGAUAACUCAGCUUUACAUAUUUGUUCUACAAUUCUGA